rnacentral:rRNA from 1 species
UCGAGAAUCUUUCACAAUGGGGGAAACCCUGAUGAAGCGACGCCGUGUGAGUGAAGAAGGCCUUCGGGUUGUAAAGCUCUUUCGCUUGGGAUAAAAAAAGAUAGGUAAAUAAUCUAUCAAUUUGAUGGUACCAGGUAAAGAAGCACCGGCUAACUUCGUGCCAGCAGCUGCGGUAAUACGAAGGGUGCAAGCGUUAAUCGGAUUUAUUGGGCGUAAAGGGCGCGUAGGCGGAUAAGUAAGUCAAAUGUGAAAUCCCUGGGCUCAACCUUGGAACUGCAUUUGAAACUGCUAAUCUAGAGGGUAGACGGAGAAAGUGGAAUUCCAUGUGUAGCGGUGAAAUGCGUAGAUAUGUGGAAGAAUACCGGUGGCGAAAGCGACUUUCUAGUUUUUUCCUGACGCU